rnacentral:snoRNA from 1 species
AAGACAAGUGCUGUACUAUCUCUCCAGCCCCAAAGCAGUCUUUUAUACCGAAGAUAACGCUUUGUAAAUAUCCUAGAGAAAUCUAGUAGCUCUGUGCACACCCUUUACAAGUAAAAUGGGUGCAUCAUUCCACUACUGACAUUC